rnacentral:rRNA from 1 species
GACGAACGCUGGCGGCGUGCCUAAUACAUGCAAGUAGAACGCUGAAGGAGGAGCUUGCUUCUCUGGCUGAGUUGCGAACGGGUGAGUAACGCGUAGGUAACCUGCCUGGCAGCGGGGGAUAACUUUUGGAAACGAUAGCUAAUACCGCAUAAUAGCAGUUGUUGCAUGACAACCGUUUGAAAGUUGCACUUGCACCACUACCAUAUGGCCCUGCGUUGUUUUAGCUAGUUGGUGGGGUAACGGCUCACCAACGCGACGAUACAUAGCCGGCCUGAGAGGGUGGUCGGCCAAAAUGGGACUGGGGCACGGGCCAGGCUCCUACGGGGAGCAGCAGUAGGGGAACUUCGGCAAUGGACGGAAGGCUGACCGCGCAAAGCCGGGGGAGGGAAGGAGAUUUUCGGGUCGGAAAGCUCUGUUGUAAGGGAAGAACGAGUGUGAGAGUGGAAAGUUCACACUGUGACGGUACCUUACCAGAAAGGGACGGCUAACUACGUG